rnacentral:lncRNA from 1 species
UAAUUUUAGAGAUGGAGGAAUAAACUAGCUGAUUCAAAUUUUAUAUUCUUUUACCUAACUUCUAUAAUUUUUCCAGUGCCGCGGUUUAUUUUUCGGUAAGGCCAACUAGAAGCUUGAAUUGGUUAUAAGAGUAUUUUAACAGGUUUAUCACAUGCAAAGGCUUAAAAAAUAGUUCACUACUUUCUAAGUACACCAGACCUUUCUUUAGGGCAACAGUUGUUUCUUCUUUCUCUUUCCUUCCUAAUUGUUUAAGAUUUUAGCCUAUUUUUUCCUGCUUUGUGAAUUUUAAGUAGGACCUCAACAAAUUUAAGAACUCCAGCUAGUCAUUAAUCGGUUGAUAGUCUUGCCUAUCUUUAUUCAUUAGUGAGUCUGCUUUUUCUUCUGCACAUUUGUUAAAGUCCAUUUGAUCAUUGAGCCUGUUUUUAACAUGGUUUCCUUAUGGUUUUGCUUUCCUAAUCCGAUUUUAAAGGUCUUCAUGUUAUUUGAGAGUUGCUGAAAACCAUGCUGCUCUUUCCUUGAUGGUUUGGUAGUGAGCAUGGAUGAGCACAGCCUGCUGAACCCUGAGUUCUAAUCUUACGCCUGUAGCUAAGGAAUUGGGGAUGAUUUGGACAAGUCAGUCAAUCUUCUUUGUCUCCAGCUGCUCAAGUGUCAACUGUGGAUAAUAUGACCUGUCUCAAAACCAUGUCAUGCGAUGAAGACGCCAAGGCAAUGACACCUGACAGUCAUAUAGCUGAUAAGGAACAGCGCCAGGACCCAGAGCCAGGCAGUGUGACUGAGCAAGAGUCUGUGCUUUUAACGACUAGGUUUUGCUAGCCCAAAGCACAUACUUGAUACACACUAUAAACACCAUGAAAGCUGGAGCUGCUCUGCAUUAGUCAUCAUCUAUCUACAGUAACUAGCAUGGUAUUUGGCACGUAUCAAAGACUGAAAGAAUAAAUGAAUGAGGUCACCAGAGGUUUAGGAGCAAGGGGUUGCAUUAUCAGCUAACCCUUUUAAGAAGAUUAAGUAGAAAUGGAUACCAUAAGUUAGAGAAGUGAAAAAUAAACAAUUGAAAACUGCUGGCGAUUAUAUGAGUAAGAGUGAAGAGUGAUUAGGGCUGAUGAAGGUAUCUGUCUUGGUGAUGAAAAAAUAAUCAGAUAUUAAAAUACACAGGACUAGUCAACUAGAGAAGCAAUUAAAAAGAAGGAAGCAAAAGAUCUGAGACUCUGAAUCAAAGCCACUGAGAAAUUCGCAGACCAUUAGUCACAAAAAGGUUGAACAACGUUCCGAAAUAUGGAAGCCAGAAGAAACAGCAAUUUUGAAUAGAUUCCUUAGAGAGAGGAACAAAGAGAAGAAAGUAAAAGUAGAUGAUGGAUAGAGAAGGAAAAUUAAGCAUGCCAAAUUAUUGUUCAUUGAGUUUAGGAUUCAAUUUUUUUCGUCUAGUGAAACUACAGCUUUUCAGAAUUGGGGAGAAAAAUGUAAGAAUGCUUGUUCCAUGGCCUUUUCCCUAGGGGCUAAAAAAGUGAGAAGUCAUACUCCAAGCUUCAUUUGCAAGUAUAAAAGGGGCACCAUGUAAUUACACAGCUUCAGUUAGAGAUGCUUUCCGCCCUUUCCAAGUGAUCUAAGAGCUCAGGGAUGCUAUGCCCUAUUCUCCAGUUAGAAAAAAGAUCAGGGAGAACUAUCAAAGAGGGCACCAGAUCUUCCAGGACUAGACCUAAUACCUCUUGGUGUAGGCAUUCCUUGCAAAAAAAAAAAAAAAAA